UUUUUUAGGUGCCAUCUCAGCCCAGCUCUGGGGAGUUGAGUUACCCAAAGGUUGGGAUGGAGCUGGAGAGCUGGAAAUAUCCAGAUGUGAAGAUCCAGGGUAGCUGCUGCUUUCACUCCCCCAUCUUCAGAAGGAGCAGCUGUGGGGUCCCAGCAGUGGGAGGAGGAGGAGGAGGAUGCAGCAGGUAGGGAACAGGUUUGAUUGGAGCUGCAGCUCCUGCUUUAAAUUGCUUUGGGGAUAACUGAGUGAUUCCUCUCCCUGUGUCCCUUUCCAUGCCCUGUUCCAGGGCUGGCAGUGGACAGGGGUGAUUGCUUUGAAGUGCUCUCCUGCUUUCUGGAUGAUUCACACCGGUAGGAGAGGCUUCCUGCCUUGCCAUGACUUAGGGAAAAGCUCCAUUUCAUAAUGUCUCCUUACUCUUAGCAGGGCUUGUGUCUGUUCCCAAAACUCCCACUGUUUUCACUGCAGGCAUGACCAGACUGUGAAAUAGCUUGGCUGGGCUGGUGAAUAAUCUCUGAGGCUCUUUUAAUAAACUGCAGUUUUAUUUA